rnacentral:rRNA from 1 species
AUAGCCUACGGGGGGCAGCAGUGAGGAAUAUUGGUCAAUGGGCGAGAGCCUGAACCAGCCAAGUCGCGUGAAGGAUGAAGGAUCUAUGGUUUGUAAACUUCUUUUGUAUGGGAAUAAAGUGAGGAACGUGUUCCUUUUUGUAUGUACCAUAUGAAUAAGCAUCGGCUAACUCCGUGCCAGCAGCCGCGGUAAUACGGAGGAUGCGAGCGUUAUCCGGAUUUAUUGGGUUUAAAGGGUGCGUAGGCGGAAUGCCAAGUCAGCGGUAAAAUCGCGGGGCUCAACCUCGCUCCGCCGUUGAAACUGGC